CAUCUUUUCACUUUGUAUAAAUUUCAGUAAUACUUUUAAGAACACCUAGAGACUCUACCUAUCCACCAUGCACAAAGUUGGCUGUAAGGUAGGACUGGCAAAGGUUCCCAAAUUGCCCAAUGGUUUCUUAAAGGUGAUUCUUGCAAGGCUCUUGGGGAAAGUUUACUGGUACCUAUGGAUAAUCACAAAGGUGCUUCACUUCAUGUGGAUGUUUCUGCUCCAUCAGAGAAGAUGCAUUAAACUACCUCCUUAUCUGACAGCACUUAAUCCAUGCACUGGGUCUGCCAGGUCUAAGAAGUUCUUCAUUCUUAUGGGAAUCUGCAUUAACAAAUAGCCACUGAAUACUCUCCUGGAGAUGUAAGCAACCUGUCAAGAUAGGAAGAAGUUAAUAAACAAAGUAUACAGCUGGAAAUCAAAUUCACAUCCCUAUAAUGGCUCUUGCACACUGAGAACCCCUCCUUUGAACAUUGCUUCCCUGAUGUGAUAGCGUUAAAUUUUGCCUACGGUGAGAUAACCUGGAGGAAAUUGUUCAGAAUUGUUUGGAGUUUGCUUGAUGCUGUUCUUCUUCUUUCUCUCAUAUUUUUUCAUCUUCUUUGUUUACUCUUUAGGAAAAAUUUGUGUGGCUGUGAAGAUGAUUGAAGCAUCAUUUUCUCAGUUUUUCCCCGGAUUUCUUCUUUGCACUCUAUGCCAUCCUUUCUUCCUGCGACUCUUCCUUUUGUGACAAAAAGCACUGCUAAUUGCAUAGAUUAGCUUCAAAUCCAGGAUCAAAGGUUUAACGCUUCGAUUUUCUGCUUCUUAGGCAUUUUAUUUUUUUUCUCUCAUAUGGGAAAUUUGCAAAACUGUUCACUACAGAAUUGAGUUGGUUUUCCUCUGAAAGUUGAGGGAAAAGGCUAAGCGUGGAAGGGGUAUGUUCUUACUUGACCUUAUCUGUUCUUUUGGCAGGUAUAUACUUUGCAUUAUGUCAUUAAAAGGCAAAGUGAUGGUUUUCGAGUAUUUUUGCAGAGCCAUGCUGCAGAGAGAGGAAAUGCUGCCACUGUGUCAUUUUUACUUUUCCUGAGAGUGAUAAAACAGAACCAACUCUUGGCAUAUAGACUGUUUAUACACUGUUUGCUGAGCUUGGUGAAAAGACGUUAUGUGUUCCUUGUCUAUCAAAAAUUUGUACAGGCAUGGAAAGUGGAUAGGCAGCAUUUUGAAAAGCUCCUUAGGGCUUUUUAGAAAGAUUUUUUAUACUUCAACUGGCAUGAGAGGCUUCCAUUUCAAACGUCAACAAAGGCUGGCAUUUGUGAGCCUGCCUUGCUGCUGAGGGCUGCAAGGAGUCAGAGUUCCCUGUGCAACUCUGAAUCAAGUUCAGCCUUGUGUUCUCAUCUGUAAUCAGAUAAAACAAACAAACAAGAAAGGAUGGGUGGGGAAAGCAUUAAUAUUUUAAACCUGGCUUUACCUGUCUGUUGCCUUUGAAAAUAAAAUUGUGUGUUUGAAUCAGUUUUGGCAGUCAAAUUUUGUGAAAUCUGUUGCAUGCAAUUUGAACAGCCACUAUACCUUCACAACACCCCAGGUGUAGAGAGUUACGCUGACAGUCAACCUAUGAAUUCAAAACUCUGUACAUAAAAGUAGGUAUUGCUAAUGCUGUGCUUAAAACUAUUCCACCAAAGAAAAGAACUUAAUAACAUGGGGGUGGUGAAGGUGAAGCUAUAUGAAAGCAUAGCUUUCCACAGCACAGUGUUGGAGUUAUUUUUCUUACGUACAACCACCACAGAGCUUUCCUUUCCCUUAGCAGCAGCCAAUCAAAAAAACGCAAAAGUGGCAGAUGACUAAAGCAUGCUUAAUGACAAACAACAUACAGUUUUCUCAGUGUCUGCAUUAGCUAAUGAAAAUAGAAGCUGAAAGAAUCAGGAGCAGAUCCAUUACAUGGUUUGCUUUUGUGUAAAUUGACUUUAUUUAUGUUUAAGCUUACAGAUAAACAGUUUGUGAUUCCAGAAAUUGCCUGUUAUAUACAGUCCGUUGAUGUGAUAUAUUUUGUUUCUUGAAGGCUUCUGAAGAUAAAAUAAUAAUAAUAAUAAUUACUCUUUCUAUAAUGACAACAUUUUAUCACCACAGAUAAUGAGAGUGCAGAAUUAUGGUUUACUCACCCACACACUGAAGAAAAUUGUGUCAUUCCUACAUCCAUUGCAAGGGAUAGAUUUAUUUUCUUUGUCCUUUCUUUUUUGUUCUUGCUUUUUGGAAACUUGAAUGUCCUCUUUCCCUGGUUUUCUCGCUUGCUCAUCUACAACCUCUAAUGCAAAUUUAUACUAAAUAUUGCUUGACCACACUCCCAAAUCACAAGAAUUAAUUCUUACCAUUAUUAUUUCUGCUGUCACAAAGAUUUAAAAACAUAAAUAGCUUUUUCUUUUUUUCUUCUUUUUUUUUUUUUAUUUUUGAGGCAAGAAGAAGAAAGGGUAUUGAACAAACACAUGACACUAAAGGAAUAAAAUAUGAACUGAACUUCCUCUAGAUUUCAAGCUAAUUAUUUUUCCCAGUUUGGUUACACACAACUGAGAAACAUUUAAAGGGAUGCAAAUUAGAAGAUCGUUAAUACGCAACCUAUGGUUUCAUCUGCCAGUCUUCAAGCAGAAGACCACGCUUCCCCCUCCAACACCAUUUUCAAGUUUUAUAGCUUAGUGUAACCAUUUUAAUUGUUCUUUUUCUGCAAGGCAUGAAGAUAAACCAUGCAUGAAUCAAUACAUGAAUGAAUCAGCCUCUGGUCUAGCUCACUGAUGUACUCAUCAUUUAUAUCCUUGCAUAAUUUACAGAAAUUGAAAGUGUAGUGAGGCUUUGCAUUCAGCUGAAUGUGGUUUGUUUACACAGUCCAAUAGAGUUUCACGUUCCAGAAAAGCUGAUUCUGCAGGGAUUGCUCAAGCAGGAUAAAAACAUCUAAAGCUUUGUGCUAAAAUAGAUGCAGUUAAGUGCCUAGGUGUCCCAUCACUUUUAGCCAAAUCUUAAUGAGAACACUGACAUCUUGGCUUUGUUGUGCAUGGUUUCACUUAAUUCAGAGGUAGCUGGGGCUCCCUGCACAAAAUUCAGUAGGCUGGAGUAUUAGCCUUUGGCUGAAAGAAAGACUAAGAUUCAUCUCAGUGAACUGCAGCUGCUUGAAAGUUAGGCAUCUAAACUAAUUUACUUGUCCAGGUUCCUGCAAUGACUGAGACACCUCCCCCACCUGGCUGUUCCUCUCAUAACCAGGAUUCACCUCCAGAGAUUACCACCUCUUGGAUGCCAUUCUCAAUUCUUCAUUUCCACUAACCUUAACAGGAUGUGAGACCACAAAAAGCAAGACACAUUAACUAUUCCCAGCACUUCUAGAAAAAUACCCUUACUAUCAGCAUGUUUCCUUCUGUUUUCUGUACCCACUUUGGCCAUACAUCACAGGAAUUAGGACUAAUGGGAAGAAAAUCCCUGCCAGGUUUCCUCAGAGCUCUUCUCCUUUGGCAAUGGUGUUUUUCCCCCAUUCUCUCCACUUUCACACAAACACACCCCACCAUUCCCCAGCCAACAAUGGAGACCGGGGGAUGAGGGGGGAGGGCAAACCCUGCAGACUGUCUGCCUCCACAGACUGUUAUUUUGGAUUUCAUUGACCUUUGAUAGGGCAACUCUUUUUCGGAUCGCUCUCUUGGUUGUAUUCUCCAGGGGAUAUGGCUUUUUACAUUACAAAUUUUGAAAGAUUCUAGGGAAGAAUUUCUGUCUCUCAAAAGCCCUAUAUCUGCUUGAAGUGUUUGGGUUUAUCAGUGACAAUUACAAAACAGAAGCAGUCUGUAUGUGAGGAAAGAUUUCUGUUUGUUGUUUGUAAGCUAUUUUCACUUUGGCUGUAGCUGUCAAGGGGGAUUUCACAGCCAUCCACAUUAUGUCUCACCCCUGUAGCUGAUAUCAGAGCAACCUUAGCUGCUUGAGUAGAAAAAAGAAUCAAGGAGACACAUUAUCUUUUAAAGAAAAGGAACAAAAAAUACUUUUGCAGAACCAACCUAGAGCUCUGCAUCAAAUACCAUCUGUGUUUAAAAAGAAACACAGGGUUGUGAUGUUAAUGAAUUAUUGUUAUUUCCUAGAGGCACAGAUGAAGUGUUUGGUUUUGUGCAAAUCAGAAGUCUCAAACCAGCCCUGUCCCAUUAGCACGGCACAUCAAACACCACAAGCUGAUUUUUGGUUUUUUGGUUCAGCUGAAGGCUGAGGAUUUACACCACUAACAACAGCCACGCAUAUGGUCACAUACAGUCAGGAAAUGAACAACUCUGCAUGAACCGAAGAGAGCGAGGGUGCAAUAAAAACAUAUCCUGCAAAGGGAUCUGUGACGGGAAAUGGGAGGAGAGCUCAGCUUGCAAGAGAAGAACAAAGCCUGUCUCUCUCCAGACUCCACUCUUCAGCAACAUACCACUCAGGAAAGGCCCUGAAAUCCAAAACAUCACUGAGGAGAUGUUUCAGUCUGUGUGAAGGUCAACACCCAGGGUACUGAGAGGGCACCAAGAGGUGCAUCGUGACAAAGAGGCCUGUCCCCCUGCAGAGCCUGGGCCUGGGCUUCAGAAGAUGCUGAUGAAGGCACUGGGUUUGUCCCAUCAUCCAAACACUUACAAUGAGGUGGUAUAUUGCUCCUCAGACAUGGAUGAGAUGCAUACUUCCAUCUGAGAAAUCAAGUCAGAACAGAAUAAGAUGCUUGAAGACUCCUGACAGGAAAAGACAAAAGAAGAUUAGAAACCUUGCAUGCAGCAGCAAAAACAGACUGUGAAUAUUGAAAGCAGGAUCCUGGAUUUUAAAUACAAGCUCAAUUUUCAGGUUUGGAUUUAACCUCUGCAUGUGAGCACAUCUGCCAGAUGAUCCAACCCACUGAUGCUACCUGCCCUCCUAAGCUGAUCUCCCUGGCUGAAGGGUCAGGAGGAGUACUGCCAACCUGGACAGGGUUUCUCAUCUUGAAGCAGAAGAUAGGAAGAGUACAUUCAAGUUAUGAAAUGCAGCAUCAGGGAGAAGAACAGUGCUGGGCCAAAAACCUUGCUUUGCCCCACCACUCAGCAUCGUGCUGCAGCAGGGAGAGGGCAGCAGUCCCUCUGGUACCCCUAUUCUCCAUGCAAAGAGCAGCAGACGGCGGUGAUCAGAUCCAGCCUUGCUGACCUUGCACCAACAUGGAUAUGGAGCAGCCACAUGAGUAGUCAACUUUUGAAUAAAUCACACUGCUCCUGCCACUCACAGUGCUGUCAAGUUACUUGUCAAAAUCAACGUGGUCAGGCAGAAAGGUCACCAAAUGUAAGAGGAUUUUUUUUUUCAUGGAAAAGAUUUCCUCUUCUUCUGUUUGGCACCACCAAGCACGACCUGUGUCCAUCACUUGCCAUGAGCAUCACCCUGCUGUGCUAUCUCCCAUAUCAUCAGAGCUUGCCACACUUCUAGAGGAAGCUGAGCUCAUGUUUCUUUUUCAGGUAUGCUCUGACAAGCCAUGCAGCUUUGUACCUAGCUGGUACGUGUGUAGGUACUGAAUGCCAUCCAGCACUGUACGCCAAUUAAGUAAAUGCACUUUGAGAACAGAUGUGACAUUUAAAAAGUCCCUGCAAAACCUCUUUCAGCAAAACAUCAAGCAAAACAUUAGCAGCACUCUGAAGAAUUUCUGAGAAAAUGUGAGAUGAUUUUACUUCUGCAACAACAGCAACAAAAAUAAACGCAAGGCAGGAAGAGGAAAACACACUUGUUAAAUAACAGCCAAAUCAGCCGGUGUGAAAAUCUGAUGAGAAGUUAUUGACUGCAAAAGAGUACGUGUGCAUAUACCACAUCACUGCCACAGAGACACAGGAUGUUGUUAGUACAAUGAGAACCUUUGCUCAGCUGUCAUUAAACCGCAGGCUGUACUCACUCUUGGUCUGUUUGACUAAUUCUCAGAUACAUUUCACAGUAUCAGCUGUUCUGCUGGAUAAGUUACGCCAACUGCUCUCCCUCUGACAGGAUGAACUGAGUUGCUUCUUGUUGAUACUGAAGAAACAAGGCUGCACGUGCUAUCUGCUCCUCCCCACGCUCUCAAAAACAAAACACCAUGGUGGUGCAUAGAGAACCUGGACACCACACCAGUAAAUGCUUACAUAUGUCCUGAAUGUCACUCCAGAUCCUCCCACUUUGACCUAUUGCAGGGUUUAAUCCCACCUGCUAUUAAAUAAACAGCAGGAUUCCCAUUGAAAAGAAGCUAAGUUCUCUUGUCCUUGCAGGAACAGGAGUAUGCCCAGAGAAGUACAUGUUUUUUUUCUCUCAAAAUGCUGCAUUAAACAAACCCCAUGUUCCAAAUAGCAAUAAUAAUCAACUACAUAACCCUCCCAUAAGGUAGAUGAAGUGGUGUAGGCAGGGGUCAAUGCAGUUCAUGCAGCUCUAACUUGGGCUGUGCAGAGUUUUCCCAUUGCUGGGCUUGGAGAACAAACGUGAAUGUUAUUUAUCUGUCAUUUUAAUUACUGCCAUAGCACUGGCACAGUGAAGAAAAGCACUGUGAAGCAGAAACUGGUAGCUGUAUUUCCUGCAGUACUCCUGUCUUCAAAGGACAAAGAAGUAAAACACAAGAUACGUUUCCGGCUCUUCCACAAGCAUCUCCCAAGUUCCAUAGGAAAAAAGGCUCUUUGCCAAGAGUUACAAAAGUCUUUUUUAUGACCACAUGUAUAUUCACACAUGUACUCUGAAAUUACUGAGAAGUCAGACACGAGGAAAAGUGAUUUUUUUUUCAAAAUUAGUAGCCAGAAUUAGAAAUGGGCAAUAGAUGUCCUUACUCAGAGCCUUCCUUUGAACAUCAGGACACAGUUCAAGCAAGAAACACUGGUAAAUUUAGCAAGAUUUCCCAGACACAUUACUGAGCUUUGAGGAGAUGUGUUCUUUGUGAACUCUCAGCAGUUCCCUUGUCUGGUAGGCAUCUGCAACAUGCUGAAAUGCCCUAGUGCUGCUCUGUUCUCACCUAAGCAAUGUAGCUGACCUUUCCAUAUCAGUUCUUGUGUGUAGCAUGAUAGCUUUAACCGGGCAAGACAAAGAAAAGCCAACAUAACGUGGCUGCAGUCACGUUAUCUGUCUGAGAGACUUUCUUUACUGCCUCCUUAGCUGAACAGUGAAUGAAUGGCACUUUUGCAGAUUUAACCUUUCCUUUAUGUCCUUUCUCUGAGUCACGAGGAUUUCAUUCUCUGUUCUGUAGCUCACCUGCAAAAAGUACCAUUUCCUUCUUCUGCCACAAAACAUGCGCUCACAGUGUAGAGACAGAAGAAACACUGCUAUCAUUUCCCCUUGGCCGAUGUGAGGAGAUCAUGCAGCUAAAGGCAGCAGUGUCUGUGCCGUGUUUACAUUCCCGCUGAGCAGGUACAGACAGGGCACAGACCCAGAUGUGUCAACUGGGGCACUGCUGUGCACACACAAAAAAAUCAUCAAGAAAUUGAAGUUCUGCCAAAGGGAAACUCAGGGGUCUUUUUGCAGCAUCCAGGGCAGGGAUUAAUGCUGGCAAUUGUGCGCGGCUUUUAAUUUCCUAGGGGUGACAUUUCUGAUGCCAUAAAGGCAUAAUUCUGUGGUUCAUUUUGUUUCUACUUACCCAGCAUACCUCUCAUAAAGAAGAGCAAUAGAUUAUUAUCUGACUUGUUCUUGCUGUUUUACAGACAGCAUUUUGCGAGGGUUGCCUUGUCCAUUCUGAGGAUGCUUUCAAAACACUACUCAAAAAGGGCUUUUUUUUCCCCCCAGUUUUAAAAGAUGAACUCCUCUUUCUAUGUUAUUUCUAUGAAUGUCCAACAUGAUUCAAAUUUUUCACAUGCAAUUCCUGAAUAUGAGUGCCUCCUCUAUUGCAUAUCUGACAACAACACAAUUGUGUUUGGAGAGUGAGUGCAAGGGCAUGCACAAAGUCUGGCCUCUGGAACAUCGCUCACACUGGAAGUAAUCAGAACUGUGAUAUCCAAAAUAAUAACACAUUUUUUAAAAUAGCAGCAACAAUCCCCUUUCUAGGGAUGCUUUAUGAUGCUGACUACUUAAAUAGUCCCACCAAGGGGGCUGCGCAUGCAACAGGUUUCCGAAGAGCUCUGAUUCUGUCCCACCCGAUCACAGAGUGAGGGGGAAUCUUUCUAUAAGGAAAUUUUCAUAUUCAUAAAAAAAAGAUACGUCUACAGCUUAAUUUGUGGGCCGAUAUGAAAGGCACUGGCAAAGAGUUCCUCAAAAUUUAGAUUUUUGUUAGAAAUCGUUUGUUAGCUAUGAAUCCUUUCCCUUUCCUUGCACCACAAAUAGCUGAGUCAGCAAACGAGAUGUUUCUUUGUAUCAUGAGGACAACAUAUUUGCCCCCAUAUAAGUUUCCUUUGGCCUUUUUUUGAUUGUUUGUUUGUUUUGUUUGUUUGUUUGUAGACACAGCUCAUGAAAAUCAAGGUAGUCCAAAACUGCUACAUUUUACGUGUAGGCACAAGGACUUGGAUAAGACAGCCAUUAUCAUCCUUUCAGCAAGGCCAGUGGUAUAGCUGAGCAGAAUCUUGCCCUAUAUCAGUACAGUGAGCACCAAGGGUGCAAAGCUGGAGAAGUGAUCUGAGCCAAGGAGAUAGCUUCCACCCGAGGUCCCUGUCCAUAGCUCCUCAUCUCUUCCCCGGACACAUACACCUGAUCUUCCUGCCCACAAGCAUGCACUGUGCUGCAGGAGCUAACAGGAAGAUGUGUUUGGGAUGGCUCUGCUGAGGGACAGAGGCUUUCCUGUCACCAGCAGCACAGAGGGAGGGACAGGUCACCUCCAAGGAACAUACUGCAUGUGAAAGGAAUAUGACUUUUGCAGCUUGAACAGGGGAGAGGCAGGGAGGAUCCAAUCCAGCCAGCAGAGAGGAAAAGAAAACACAGUGAUAGUGAGACAAGAUAUCUUGGGAAACUGCAAACAUCUUACCUAAUGAGCUCUGAGGGUCACAGCACCACCAGUCUGGUCCACUGCCCAAGAUGCUUCUUCCAGUUGCUCUGUGUCACAUGGCCUCG
ensembl:lncRNA